AGGCGUAGCUCGUAUCGACCCGAGCUGUGCCGGAGCUAACGCGUUAAGUAUCCCGCCUGGGGAGUACGCAGGCAACUGUGAAACUCAAAGGAAUUGACGGGGGCCCGCACAAGCGGUGGAGUAUGUGGUUUAAUUCGAUGCAACCCGAAGAACCUUACCAAGGCUUGACAUGUCACGAAUCCUGUGGAAACAUAGGAGUGCCUUAGGGAGCGUGAACACAGGUGGUGCAUGGCUGUCGUCAGCUCGUGCCGUGAGAUGUUGGGUUAAGUCCCGCAACGAGCGCAACCCUCGUUUUUAGUUGCCAGCAUUAAGAUGGGCACUCUAGAGAGACUGCCGGUGACAAACCGGAGGAAGGUGGGGAUGACGUCAAGUCAGCAUGCCCCUUACGUCUUGGGCUACACACGUACUACAAUGCUCCGGACAAAGGGCAGCUACACAGCGAUGUGAUGCGAAUCUCAUAAACCGGAGCUCAGUUC
rnacentral:rRNA from 1 species